rnacentral:tRNA from 1 species
GCCUGGCUGGUUCAGUCGGUGGAGCAUGCGACUUGAUCUCGGGGUUGUGGGUUCGAGUCCCACGUUGGGUG